GACACAUCUAAGCUGAGGACCAAUGCAUGGAAUUUGGAAGUUCUCUUACCAGAGCCAGAGUCAUGACAUAUAUAAUGUGAAGCUAAAGUUGCUGUUCAUUUUAAUUCAUUCUUUGUUGGGAAGGAAUAGUUUGGUUUCUUUUUCAUGUUAGUUUUUGUGUUUUUCUUUAAAGAUAAAAUCAUGAGUCUGAGAAUAGCACCUCCACUGGCUUACUUCAUACAAAUUCAGUUCCAGUUUGUACAGGCAAUGGGAGAGAGCCGAGCAAUUGCAAGCAGU
rnacentral:lncRNA from 1 species